CAAUUCAAAACUGUAAAUUAGC
rnacentral:miRNA from 1 species